rnacentral:rRNA from 1 species
UACGUAGGGGGCAAGCGUUGUCCGGAUUUAUUGGGCGUAAAGAGCGUGUAGGCGGCCAGACAGGUCCGUUGUGAAAACUCGAGGCUCAACCUCGAGACGUCGACGGAAACCGUCUGGCUAGAGUCCGGAAGAGGAGUGUGGAAUUCCUGGUGUAGCGGUGAAAUGCGCAGAUAUCAGGAAGAACACCUAUGGCGAAGGCAGCACUCUGGGACGGUACUGACGCUGAGGUGCGAAAGCGUGGGGAGCAAACAGG